rnacentral:rRNA from 1 species
GACGAACGCUGGCGGCGUGCUUAACACAUGCAAGUCGAACGGAAAGGCCCUGCUUUUGUGGGGUGCUCGAGUGGCGAACGGGUGAGUAACACGUGAGUAACCUGCCCUUGACUUUGGGAUAACUUCAGGAAACUGGGGCUAAUACCGGAUAGGAGCUCCUGCUGCAUGGUGGGGGUUGGAAAGUUUCGGCGGUUGGGGAUGGACUCGCGGCUUAUCAGCUUGUUGGUGGGGUAGUGGAUUACCAAGGCUUGGACGGGUAGACGGCCUGAGAGGGUGACCGGCCACAUUGGGCCUGGGCUGCGGCCCAGACUCCUACGGGAGGCAGCAGUGGGGAAUAUUGCACAAUGGGCGGAAGCAUGAUGCAGCAACGCCGCGUGGGGGAUGACGGCAUUCGGGUUGUAAACCGCUUUCGCCUGUGCCGAAGCGUGAGUGACGGUAAUGGGUAAAGAAGCACCGGCUAACUACGUG